UUCUACCAAGCAACGAUAAAACAGCUAGACUUUGUGAAUGAUACAGAGAAGUCCACAACACGUGUAAACUCCUGGGUUGCUGAUAAGACUAAAGUCCACAAGGGAACGAAGAAACACCACCAACAGCGUCCACAUGGCCUUCACGACAUGGCCCUGUGGACACAUCAGACAUUGUCUUGCAGUGCCUCAUCCACACUAUCUGUACCACUGCAGGCCUGGAUACGUCAUGGUUUUCAUGGUGCUAUCUUGUGCCUCUUUGCACCUGCACGCACUGUGUUUCCUACAUGGGAUAUCUGUGUUUACAACCAAACUCCCAGGGGCCAAAUUAUAUCCUUUGUAAAGGACUUCAAACCACCAGGCAUUUGCUGGAAGUUUCACGGAGGAAAACAAGCAUUUUUCAUCUUCUAAUCUGGUUUGCUGGUCAAAGAGGAAAAGGAGUGGAUGGACAAAGUGGGGCCCAAAGUCUGGAUCUAGUUCUGACCAACAAGGAGAAAUUGAUGCACAAUGGGGAAGUGACCUUGGCAUUUUCAACUGGCAGAGCCG
rnacentral:sRNA from 1 species